rnacentral:rRNA from 1 species
UACGUAGGGUGCAAGCGUUGUCCGGAAUUAUUGGGCGUAAAGAGCUCGUAGGCGGUCUGUUGCGUCGGCUGUGGAAACCCGAGGCUCAACCUCGGGCCUGCAGCCGAUACGGGCAGACUAGAGUUCGGCAGGGGAGACUGGAAUUCCUGGUGUAGCGGUGAAAUGCGCAGAUAUCAGGAGGAACACCGGUGGCGAAGGCGGGUCUCUGGGGCCGAUAACUGACGCU